rnacentral:rRNA from 1 species
UACGUAGGGUGCGAGCGUUGCCCGGAUUUAUUGGGCGUAAAGGGCGCGUAGGCGGCUCGGCACGUCCGUUGUGAAAUCGCUCGGCUCAACUGGGCGAGGUCAGCGGAUACGGUCGAGCUUGAGCCAGCUAGGGGGCAAUGGAAUUCCCGGUGUAGUGGUGGAAUGCGUAGAUAUCAGGAGGAACACCAAUAGCGAAGGCAGCUCGCUGGGACGGUAUUGACGCUAAGGCGCGAAAGCGUGGGGAGCAAACAGG